GGAUAAAUGUGCACAGGAAAUAAAUCAGCUUAAAAAGCAAUUGGAAGAAUACGAAAAGGAGAGUAAAAAAUCAGACAGUGAGGUUAGUAGUCAUCACUGUGCACUAAGAAGUUGCACAAAAAUACAAGAAAGGGCUACCUGUAAAUCCCCUCCUUAUUAUGAUUUUUCCACACCAGACCAGGUUUUCCCAAAAACCAGUCUGAAAGGAAAGAUGUGAGCAAAUCUGAGAAAACACCUGUGGAACACGGUUCCUCAUCUC